rnacentral:rRNA from 1 species
GACGAACGCUGGCGGCGUGCUUAACACAUGCAAGUCGAACGGAAAGGCCCCUUUGGGGGUACUCGAGUGGCGAACGGGUGAGUAACACGUGAGUAACCUGCCCUUGACUUCGGGAUAACUUCAGGAAACUGGGGCUAAUACCGGAUAGGAAUCCUUGCUGCAUGGUGGGGGUUGGAAAGCUUCGGCGGUUUUGGAUGGACUCGCGGCUUAUCAGCUUGUUGGUGGGGUAGUGGCUUACCAAGGCUUUGACGGGUAGCCGGCCUGAGAGGGCGACCGGCCACAUUGGGACUGAGAUACGGCCCAGUCUCCUACGGGAGGCAGCAGUGGGGAAUAUUGCACAAUGGGCGGAAGCCUGAUGCAGCAACGCCGCGUGCGGGAUGACGGCCUUCGGGUUGUAAACCGCUUUCAGCAGGGGCGAAGCUUGUGGUGACGGUACCUGCAGAAGAAGCACCGGCUAACUACGUG